CUACCAAAAGCGAAAGCAGUUGGUUAGGCUAUACCCUUUGUGCCUGCACGCAAUGUCAAACUUAUACGCACACACACACACACACACCAUGCAAAAAGUUGACACGCUGCGACACUUUACAAUGAAGAACGAAGGUUGGGGGAUCAAAGAGGAUCAGAUACCCUCGUCGUCCCAUUAGUUACAUCAAACUAUGGGCUCUCAAUUGCUCUCAGUUUAACUGUCGAGUAUGUUUUAUGAUCUCAUACCCUGACCUGCAAACCUGUAUGGCUCGAGCCUCCCCGCUCGCUGUACUAAACUGUAUCGGUCUCAGUAUAGACAUAUCUACUCACCAUAUAAAUAAAGUCAUGUCGGCUUACUCCGUUCGUAUUCUUACGUAUUGGAUGCUAGACAUAAGAUUUUAUGAACUUUGCGCUCAGUUAAUAUACGGUGAGAUGUAAGCAUCGUAAGCAUUUGUACGCAUCCAACUUAGCCUCACGGCGGUCGGGCGAUACAUUAUGUUUAAUAUAUGAUGUGAAGCACGUGUUAGGUACGCGCUUACUGCAGAAAU
rnacentral:rRNA from 1 species